rnacentral:rRNA from 1 species
AGCGGCGGACGGGUGAGUAAUGCCUGGGAAUAUGCCCUGAUGUGGGGGAUAACUAUUGGAAACGAUAGCUAAUACCGCAUAAUCUCCGAUCUUUUACGAGAUGGGAGCAAAGAGGGGGACCUUCGGGCCUCUCGCGUCAGGAUUAGCCCAGGUGGGAUUAGCUUGUUGGUGAGGUAAUGGCUCACCAAGGCAACGAUCCCUAGCUGGUCUGAGAGGAUGAUCAGCCACACUGGAACUGAGACACGGUCCAGACUCCUACGGGAGGCAGCAGUGGGGAAUAUUGCACAAUGGGGGAAACCCUGAUGCAGCCAUGCCGCGUGUGUGAAGAAGGCCUUCGGGUUGUAAAGCACUUUCAGUAGGGAGGAAGGUAGUGUAGUUAACACCUGCAUUAUUUGACGUUACCUACAGAAGAAGCACCGGCUAACUCCGUGCCAGCAGCCGCGGUAAUACGGAGGGUGCGAGCGUUAAUCGGAAUUACUGGGCGUAAAGCGCAUGCAGGCGGCCUGUUAAGUCAGAUGUGAAAGCCCGGGGCUUAACCUCGGAAUUGCAUUUGAAACUGGCAGG